ACGAAGGGGGCUAGCGUUGCUCGGAAUUACUGGGCGUAAAGGGCGCGUAGGCGGAUCGUUAAGUCAGAGGUGAAAUCCCAGGGCUCAACCCUGGAACUGCCUUUGAUACUGGCGAUCUUGAGUAUGAGAGAGGUAUGUGGAACUCCGAGUGUAGAGGUGAAAUUCGUAGAGAUUCGGAAGAACACCAGUGGCGAAGGCGACAUACUGGCUCAUUACUGAGGCUGAGGCGCGAAAGCGUGGGGAGCAAACAG
rnacentral:rRNA from 1 species